UACGUAGGGCGCAAGCGUUGUCCGGAAUUAUUGGGCGUAAAGAGCUCGUAGGCGGUUUGUCGCGUCUGCUGUGAAAACCUAAGGCUCAACCUUGGGCUUGCAGUGGGUACGGGCAGACUAGAGUGCGGUAGGGGUGACUGGAAUUCCUGGUGUAGCGGUGGAAUGCGCAGAUAUCAGGAGGAACACCGAUGGCGAAGGCGGGUCUCUGGGCCGAUACUGACGCUGAGGAGCGAAAGCGUGGGGAGCGAACAGG
rnacentral:rRNA from 1 species